rnacentral:rRNA from 1 species
UACGUAGGGUCCGAGCGUUGUCCGGAAUUACUGGGCGUAAAGAGCUCGUAGGUGGUUUGUCGCGUUGUUCGUGAAAACUCACAGCUUAACUGUGGGCGUGCGGGCGAUACGGGCAGACUUGAGUACUGCAGGGGAGACUGGAAUUCCUGGUGUAGCGGUGGAAUGCGCAGAUAUCAGGAGGAACACCGGUGGCGAAGGCGGGUCUCUGGGCAGUAACUGACGCUGGAGGCGCGACAGACGUGGGGAGCAAACAGG